GUGGGGAAUAUUGGACAAUGGGCGAAAGCCUGAUCCAGCCAUGCCGCGUGUGUGAAGAAGGUCUUCGGAUUGUAAAGCACUUUAAGUUGGGAGGAAGUGCAGUAAGUUAAUACCUUGCUGUUUUGACGUUACCGACAGAAUAAGCACCGGCUAACUUCGUGCCAGCAGCCGCGGUAAUACGAAGGGUGCAAGCGUUAAUCGGAAUUACUGGGCGUAACGCGCGCGUAGGUGGUUUUGUAAGUUGGAGGUGAAAUCCCCGGGCUCAACCUGGGAACUGCCUCCAAAACUGCAUGACUAGAGUACGGUAGAGGGUAGUGGAAUUUCCUGUGUAGCGGUGAAAUGCGUAGAUAUAGGAAGGAACACCAGUGGCGAAGGCGACUACCUGGACUGAUACUGACACUGAGGUGCGAAAGCGUGGGGAGCAAACAGGAUUAGAUACCCCAGUAGUCC
rnacentral:rRNA from 1 species